GACUUCUGGUUUAAUGCACCUGGCCCGCGGCCCACAAGGCCUGUGAGUGCCGGCGCGGCUACCCUUAACUGGGCGGCUGGAACUGGAUCUUUUACUUUGAAAAAAUUAGAGUGUUUAAAGCAGGCGUUUGCUCUGAAUACAUUAGCAUGGAUAAUAAUAAUCUUCUAUUUUGUUGGUUUCUAUAACUGAUAGUUGGGGGUGCUAGUUUGGCCGGUCAGAGGUGAAAUUCUUGGAUUCGGUCAAGACUAACUUAUGCGAAAGCAUU
rnacentral:rRNA from 1 species